GUGUCAGCAGCCGCGGUAAUACGUAGGUGGCAAGCGUUAUCCGGAAUUAUUGGGCGUAAAGCGCGCGCAGGUGGUUUCUUAAGUCUGAUGUUAAAUCCCACGGCUCAACCGUGGAGUUUCAUUUUAAACUGUUAUACUUUAUUUCAUAAUAUUAAAGUGUAAUUCCAUGUGUAGCGGUGAAAUGCGUAGAGAUAUGGAGGAACACCAGUGGCGAAGGCGACUUUCUGGUCUGUAACUGACACUGAGGCGCGAAAGCGUGGGGAGCAAACAGGAUUAGAUACCCUGGUAGUCCACGACGUAAACGAUGAGUGCUAAGUGUUAGAGGGUUUCCGCCCUUUAGUGCUGAAGUUAACGCAUUAAGCACUCCGCCUGGGGAGUACGGCCGCAAGGCUGAAACUCAAAUGAAUUGACGUGG
rnacentral:rRNA from 1 species